rnacentral:misc_RNA from 1 species
AGGUUGAGUACUUUCACUGCAAAGGUUACCCCAUCCUCUGCAAAAGAGCCUUGAUAGACAGAUCCAAAGCUUCCCACACCAAUCAAUUUUGUUGAAGAGAAUCCAUCUGUUGCCUUGAGAAUCAUUUGAUACGAAAUUUUCUGAAAUGACUUCAUUUGUAGCGAAGCAGGAGAAUGCCCUCUUUUCUUCUUCUUGAACCAACAAUACAUGGCAGUUGACAGCAUGCUUAUGCCAAAGAUGCAUGACAUGAUGAUCACAACUAGAUUGACAAGAUGGAAUUUUCUUCUUUUUGAUCCUUCAACAGGGCAUCUUGGCAACAAAGCCUAUUGUUUCCUACAAU